AUUGAACGCUGGCGGCAGGCCUAACACAUGCAAGUCGAGCGAGAGGCGGACGGGGGAGUAAUGUAUGGGGACUGCCCGAUAGAGGGGGAUAACUACUGGAAACGGUAGCUAAUACCGCAUACUCUCGGAUAACACAUAUCGGAUGAGCUAGUAGGUGAGGUAAUGGCUCACCUAGGCGACGAUCCCUAGCUGGUCUGAGAGGAUUAUCAGCCACACUGGGACUGAGACACGGCCCAGAUUCCGAUGGAGGCAGCAGUGGGGAAUAUUGCACAAUGGGCGCAAGCCUGAUGCAGCCAUGCCGCGUGUAUGAAGAAGGCCCUAGGGUUGUAAAGUACUUUCAGUCGGGAGGCGUUACCGACAGAAGAAGCACCGGCUAACUCCGUGCCAGCCGCCGCGGUAAUUC
rnacentral:rRNA from 1 species